AAGUCGUAACAAGGUUUCCGUAGGUGAACCUGCGGAAGGAUCAUUCACAUUUUUGAUACCGAGGUAUGUUAAUAAUAAUGCGGUGAUUAUACUAUGAUCAUUCAUUAUUAUUUUUAUCUCGUAUUAUAUUUACAAACAAGCUACAGUGUGCGUUGAAACUAUUUUAACAGGAAUGGAUAUACGUGCUAUACGUGGUAUAUUCAUUCUAAUUUUUUUUUCAUCAUCAAACAACUACGUAUAUACAACAAGUUAGUUAUUAAAUAAUAUUAUCAUUUAUGUUUAAAACAACUCUUUGCAAUGGAUAUUUUGGUUCUC
rnacentral:misc_RNA from 1 species